rnacentral:rRNA from 1 species
GACGUAGGAGGCGAGCGUUGUCCGGAGUUACUGGGCGUAAAGCGCGCGCAGGCGGUCACGCAGGUCAUCUGUGAAAGCACCCGGCUCAACCGGGUUGUUGCGGGUGAAACCGCGUGACUUGAGGUCGGGAGGGGUCGGUGGAAUUCCCGGUGUAGUGGUGAAAUGCGUAGAUAUCGGGAGGAACACCCGUAGCGAAGGCGGCCGGACUGGACCGAUCCUGACGCUGAGGCACGAAGGCCAGGGGAGCAAACGGG